GAUGAACGCUGGCGGCGUGCCUAAUACAUGCAAGUCGAGCGAACAGAUAAGGAGCUUGCUCCUUUGACGUUAGCGGCGGACGGGUGAGUAACACGUGGGUAACCUACCUAUAAGACUGGAAUAACUCCGGGAAACCGGGGCUAAUGCCGGAUAACAUGUUGAACCGCAUGGUUCUACAGUGAAAGGCGGCUUUGCUGUCACUUAUAGAUGGACCCGCGCCGUAUUAGCUAGUUGGUGAGGUAACGGCUCACCAAGGCAACGAUACGUAGCCGACCUGAGAGGGUGAUCGGCCACACUGGAACUGAGACACGGUCCAGACUCCUACGGGAGGCAGCAGUAGGGAAUCUUCCGCAAUGGGCGAAAGCCUGACGGAGCAACGCCGCGUGAGUGAUGAAAGUCUUCGGAUCGUAAAACUCUGUUAUUAGGGAAGAACAAAUGCGUAAGUAACUGUGCGCGUCUUGACGGUACCUAAUCAGAAAGCCACGGCUAACUACGUG
rnacentral:rRNA from 1 species